UACGUAGGUGGCAAGCGUUAUCCGGAUUUAUUGGGUUUAAAGGGCGUGUAGGCGGGGAAGCAAGUCAGAUGUGAAAACCACGGGCUCAACCUGUGGCCUGCAUUUGAAACUGUUUUUCUUGAGUGCUGGAGAGGCAAUCGGAAUUCCGUGUGUAGCGGUGAAAUGCGUAGAUAUACGGAGGAACACCAGUGGCGAAGGCGGAUUGCUGGACAGUAACUGACGCUGAGGCGCGAAAGCGUGGGGAGCAAACAGG
rnacentral:rRNA from 1 species